rnacentral:rRNA from 1 species
AGCAGUCGCCGCGGUAAUACGAAGGGGGCUAGCGUUGCUCGGAAUGACUGGGCGUAAAGGGCGCGUAGGCGGUUUAUACAGUCAGAUGUGAAAUUCCUGGGCUCAACCUGGGGACUGCAUUUGAUACGUAUGGACUUGAGUGGAGAAGAGGGUUGUGGAAUUUCCAGUGUAGAGGUGAAAUUCGUAGAUAUUGGAAAGAACACCGGUGGCGAAGGCGGCAACCUGGUCUUUAACUGACGCUGAGGCGCGAAAGCGUGGGGAGCGAACAGGAUUAGAUACCCCUGUAGUCCCUGUCUCUUAUAC